GAUGAACGCUGGCGGCGUGCCUAAUACAUGCAAGUCGAGCGAACAGACGAGGAGCUUGCUCCUCUGACGUUAGCGGCGGACGGGUGAGUAACACGUGGAUAACCUACCUAUAAGACUGGGAUAACUUCGGGAAACCGGAGCUAAUACCGUAUAAUAUAUUGAACCGCAUGGUUCAAUAGUGAAAGACGGUUUUGCUGUCACUUAUAGAUGGAUCCGCGCCUCAUUAGCUAGUUGGUAAGGUAACGGCUUACCAAGGCAACGAUGCGUAGCCGACCUGAGAGGGUGAUCGGCCACACUGGAACUGAGACACGGUCCAGACUCCUACGGGAGGCAGCAGUAGGGAAUCUUCCGCAAUGGGCGAAAGCCUGACGGAGCAACGCCGCGUGAGUGAUGAAGGUCUUCGGAUCGUAAAACUCUGUUAUUAGGGAAGAACAAAUGUGUAAGUAACUAUGCACGUCUUGACGGUACCUAAUCAGAAAGCCACGGCUAACUACGUG
rnacentral:rRNA from 1 species